rnacentral:rRNA from 1 species
AUAUUAGACAAUGGGGGCAACCCUGAUCCAGCCAUUCUGCUUGUGUGAAGAAGGUCUUCGGAUUGUAAAGCACUUUAAGUUGGGAGGAAGGGCCUUAGGUUAAUACCCUGAAGUUUUGACGUUACCAACAGACUAAGCACCGGCUAACUCUGUGCCAGCAGCCGCGGUAAUACAGAGGGUGCAAGCGUUAAUCGGAAUUACUGGGCGUAAAGCGAGAGUAGGUGGUUCAGUAAGAUGGGUGUGAAAUCCCCGGGCUUAACCUGGGAACUGCUUUCAUAACUGCUGAGCUAGAGGACGGUAGAGGGUAGUGGAAUUUCCUGUGUAGCGGUGAAAUGCGUAGAUAUAGGAAGGAACACCAGUGGCGAAGGCGACUACCUGGACUGAUACUGACACUGAGGUGCGAAAGCGUGGGGAGCAAAC